rnacentral:rRNA from 1 species
GACGAACGCUGGCGGCGUGCUUAACACAUGCAAGUCGAACGGAAAGGCCCUGCUUUUGUGGGGUGCUCGAGUGGCGAACGGGUGAGUAACACGUGAGUAACCUGCCCUUGACUUUGGGAUAACUUCAGGAAACUGGGGCUAAUACCGGAUAGGAGCUCCUGCUGCAUGGUGGGGGUUGGAAAGUUUCGGCGGUUGGGGAUGGACUCGCGGCUUAUCAGCUUGUUGGUGGGGUAGUGGCUUACCAAGGCUUUGACGGGUAGCCGGCCUGAGAGGGUGACCGGCCACAUGGGACAUGGAAGCCGGCCCAGACUCCUAGGGGGGGCCGCAGUGGGGAAUGUGGAAAAAUGGGCGGAGCCCGGAUGCAGCCCCGCCGCGUGCGGGAUGCCGGCUUUCGGGUUGAAACCCAUUUUCCCCUUGCACACGGAGUGGGUGAGGGUAGUGUGUAAAGAAGCCCGGGCAAACUCGGUG